rnacentral:rRNA from 1 species
AUUGAACGCUGGCGGCAGGCCUAACACAUGCAAGUCGAACGAGUGGCGGACGGGUGAGUAAUGUCUGGGAAAAUGCCUGAUGGAGGGGGAUAACUACUGGAAACGGUAGCUAAUACCGCAUACAAUCAGAUGUGCCCAGAUGGGAUUAGCUAGUAGGUGGGGUAACGGCUCACCUAGGCGACGAUCCCGAGCUGGUCUGAGAGGAUGACCAGCCACGCUGGACCGAUGACACGGGCCAGACUCCGACGGUGGGCAGCAGUGGGGAAUAUUGCACAAUGGGCGCAAGCCUGAUGCAGCCAUGCCGCGUGUGUGAAGAGGGCCUUCGGGUUGUAAAGCACUUUCAGCUGUGAGGCGUUACCCGCAGAAGAAGCACCGGCUAACUCCGUGCCAGCAGCCGCGGUAAUAC